rnacentral:rRNA from 1 species
AACGAACGCUGGCGGCAGGCUUAACACAUGCAAGUCGAACGCCCGUAGCAAUACGGGAGUGGCGGACGGGUGAGUAACGCGUGGGAACGUGCCCUGAGGUACGGAAUAACUGCGGGAAACUGCAGCUAAUACCGUAUGAGCCCCGCAAGGGGGAAAGAUUUAUCGCCUUAGGGGCGGGCCGCGUCGUAUUAGCUAGUUGGUGGGGUAACGGCUUACCAAGGAUUCGUUCCGUAGCUGGUCUGAGAGGACCAUCAGCCACACUGGGACUGAGGCACGGCCCAGACUCCUACGGGAGGCAGCAGUGGGGGAUCUUGCGCAAUGGGGGCAACCCUGACGCAGCCAGGCCGCGUGAAUGAUGAAGGCCUUAGGGUUGUAAAGUUCUUUUGCCCGUGACGAUGAUGACGGUAACGGGAGAAUAAGCUCCGGCUAACUUCGUGCCAGCCGCCGCAGUAAAAC